CAGUGCGGAGCUGUCUGUCUGCAGUCGCUGAGUUGCGAGGCGGAUGUCAUGUGCGGAGGUGUGUCAAGCCGUAAUAAUUAAAGAAUUGUGUCAAAUUUUUACACCUUCACUGGCGAUUAAAAGUAUUGAAAUUAUUUUUAUAGCGUGCUGUAAAUUAAUUAAGUUCUGUGCAGUGCGUUAAAAUGACAUAACUGAAUGAAAACCAAUUUCAAAACAACGGCUGUUUGAUCAUGCCAGCAGUCUGUUCCUGCACGUUUUACAGACAUCAUGAAGUCCGCAAAGCCAUCAGCAUCUCACUCAAAAACGGUCUGCACCUACGUUCCACCAUUGUAACUGCAUGGCUAGUUUAGUUUUUUUAACAAUGCUUGCAUUACCGUCUUAACUUAAUAGUGACUGUUGCUUACUAGACACUGUUUAAUGUGUGCAGUAGUGCUUUAUUUGUGAUUUGUAAAUAGUGCCAAAAACUUUAACAUAGUUUGGGAGUACAACGAGGAACCUGCUCCAGGAAAUAUAAGAGCUAUACUGAAGGCAUUUAAAUAAAAUCCAUAAGAAACAAUUUUUAGUUUACUAGUUUCAAAACAUUUAUAACAUUUAAUGUGGAUAUUACAAGUUUUUGAUUGAAUUUUGAUUGCUUGUUUUAAGAAAACUGUGCAUUUUACCAAACAUUCUGUAUAAAGUUCCAGUAAGUCAAAA